rnacentral:rRNA from 1 species
UGGGGAAUAUUGGACAAUGGGCGCAAGCCUGAUCCAGCCAUGCCGCGUGAGUGACGAAGGCCUUAGGGUUGUAAAGCUCUUUUGGCGGGGAAGAUAAUGACGGUACCCGCAGAAUAAGCUCCGGCUAACUUCGUGCCAGCAGCCGCGGUAAUACGAAGGGAGCUAGCGUUGUUCGGAAUCACUGGGCGUAAAGCGCACGUAGGUGGAUAGUUAAGUGAGGGGUGAAAGCCCGAGGCUCAACCUCGGAAUUGCCUCUCAUACUGGCUGUCUCGAGUCCGAGAGAGGUGGGUGGAAUUCCUAGUGUAGAGGUGAAAUUCGUAGAUAUUAGGAAGAACACCGGUGGCGAAGGCGGCCCACUGGCUCGGGUACUGACACUGAGGUGCGAAAGCGUGGGGAGCAAACAGGAUUAGAUACCCGCGUAGUCCCUGAGCGGGCUGGCAAGGCGCAU